rnacentral:tRNA from 1 species
GGUGCUGCAAGUGGUUUGCACUUGGCUGCUAACCAAAAGGUUGGUGGUUAGAAUCCAUCCAACAUCA